rnacentral:rRNA from 1 species
GACGAACGCUGGCGGCGUGCUUAACACAUGCAAGUCGAACGGAGUGGCGAACGGGGGUGUAACACGUUGGUGACCUGCCCUUCACUCCGGGAUAAGCGUGGGGAACUGGGUCUCAUACAGGGGAGUGUGGGAUGGGCCCGCGGCCUAUCAGCAUGUUGGUGGGGUAAUGGCCUACCAAGGCGGCGACGGGUAGCCGGCCUGAGAGGGUGGACGGCCACAUUGGGACUGAGAUACGGCCCAGACUCCUACGGGAGGCAGCAGUGGGGAAUAUUGCGCAAUGGGCGGAAGCCUGAUGCAGCGACGCCGCGUGGGGGAUGACGGCCUUCGGGUUGUAAACUCCUUUCGCCAUGGACGCGGUAGCUGGAGAAGAAGCACCGGCUAACUACGUGCCAGCAGCCGCGGUAAUAC